AUGCUUUCAACGCGACCCCAGGUCAGGCGGGGUUACCCGCUGA
rnacentral:rRNA from 3 species